UGAUAAUCGGGCCGUUCGAUCGCACUGACGGGGCUUGACGAGGAAAGACUGGGUGGGUCUGACGCCCGAACCGCACCCUCCCGCGGACGCCACGCCACCACGGCUAUGGAGUCCGACACCGAGCGAGACCUUCCCCUUCUCUCCCCCGCCCCAAACCCUAGCAGCCACCACCAGCAAUCCCUCCGGCCAGCCAAGUCCACGGCGUUCAAGCGCGAGGAGCGCCGCAAGCGCAAGGAGCGCAAGCGGCAGGAGCGUCUCGCCGACGAGCUCGCGCGGUGGGAACCUCUUGGCGCCCCGCCGCCCCGUCCGGCCGCCACCGGAUCCACCAGCCCGCAGCCCGACAUACCGUGGCCGUGCGACCCGCCGCCACCUCCGGACCCGGCGGAAGCCGACUCCUGGAGCUGGGGCCCGCCCGCCGUACCCGCGCCCCAGCCCGCGGUCGAAGUGGCGGCGGCGGUCCCGUUGCACCCGCAGGCCGCCGCCGUGAGGUCCUGCCGCGCGUUCUUCGAAGCGCAGAUCGACGACGAGGAGGAGGAUGGGGACGAAGGCAAUGCGGCUCGGUUCUUCGGCGAACUGUUGGGCGGCGACGCGACGCUGAGGGGAUUCUACGAGACGGAGCGGGAGAAGGGGCAGUUCCUGUGCCUGGUGUGCGAGGGCGAGGGGACAGGCGCCAGGGCGGGCAAGAGGUUCGCGGGCUGCGCCGCGCUCGUGCAGCACGCCGGGUCCAUCGCCCGGACCAAGAGGAGGCUGGCGCACCGCGCGUUCGCCGACGCCGUCGGCCGGCUGCUCGGAUGGAGCGCAAGCCAGACCGCGCCUCAGCCGGCAAGCUCCGACAGCGAUGGCGCUUGUGAUCAAGUCGACAACUCUCAAAGCGUAGAAAUGGAGGUGUCCUGAUCGUAGAGCUUGACCCCCUUGGUAAAGGGAAACAGUCAAGCAUCUCGACCUCAGUGAUCAUCACAUUGUUGAAUAUCUCGAGUUCUCCACUUGUGAUCAUGGAUUGCUAGUUUCCUCCUAAUGGUAUUGACCUUUUGAAUUGUCAGGAGUUCAGUGCCCAUUUUGUUUCAUGUUUUAAAUUCUAAGUGACAUGAGAUUGCCUGAAAAAUAUAAUUUGUGAGCU